UGCAAGUCGAGCGGUAGAGAGAAGCUUGCUUCUCUUGAGAGCGGCGGACGGGUGAGUAAUGCCUAGGAAUCUGCCUGGUAGUGGGGGAUAACGUUCGGAAACGGACGCUAAUACCGCAUACGUCCUACGGGAGAAAGCAGGGGACCUUCGGGCCUUGCGCUAUCAGAUGAGCCUAGGUCGGAUUAGCUAGUUGGUGGGGUAAUGGCUCACCAAGGCGACGAUCCGUAACUGGUCUGAGAGGAUGAUCAGUCACACUGGAACUGAGACACGGUCCAGACUCCUACGGGAGGCAGCAGUGGGGAAUAUUGGACAAUGGGCGAAAGCCUGAUCCAGCCAUGCCGCGUGUGUGAAGAAGGUCUUCGGAUUGUAAAGCACUUUAAGUUGGGAGGAAGGGUUGUAGAUUAAUACUCUGCAAUUUUGACGUUACCGACAGAAUAAGCACCGGCUAACUCUGUGCCAGCAGCCGCGGUAAUACAGAGGGUGCAAGCGUUAAUCGGAAUUACUGGGCGUAAAGCGCGCGUAGGUGGUUUGUUAAGUUGGAUGUGAAAUCCCCGGGCUCAACCUGGGAACUGCAUUCAAAACUGACUGACUAGAGUAUGGUAGAGGGUGGUGGAAUUUCCUGUGUAGCGGUGAAAUGCGUAGAUAUAGGAAGGAACACCAGUGGCGAAGGCGACCACCUGGACUAAUACUGACACUGAGGUGCGAAAGCGUGGGGAGCAAACAGGAUUAGAUACCCUGGUAGUCCACGCCGUAAACGAUGUCAACUAGCCGUUGGAAGCCUUGAGCUUUUAGUGGCGCAGCUAACGCAUUAAGUUGACCGCCUGGGGAGUACGGCCGCAAGGUU
rnacentral:rRNA from 1 species